rnacentral:rRNA from 1 species
UAAGCCAUGCGAGUCAACGUAGCAAUACGUGGCAUACGGCUCAGUAACACGUAGUCAACAUACCUAGGAGACGUGGAUAACCUCGGGAAACUGAGGAUAAACCGCGAUAAGUCAUAUUUUCUGGAAUGAUUUAUGGCUGAAAUCUAUAAGGCUCUUGGAUUGGACUGCGGCCGAUCAGGCUGUUGGUGAGGUAAUGGCCCACCAAACCUGUAACCGGUACGGGCUCUGAGAGGAGAAGCCCGGAGAUGGGCACUGAGAAAAGGGCCCAGGCCCUAUGGGGCGCAGCAGGCGCGAAACCUCUGCAAUAGGCGAAAGCUUGACAGGGUUACUCUGAGUGGUUUCCGCAAAGGAAAUCUUUUGGCACCUCUAAAAAUGGUGCAGAAUAAGGGGUGGGCAAGUCUGGUGUCAGCCGCCGCGGUAAUACCAGCACCCCGAGUGGUCGGGACGAUUAUUGGGCCUAAAGCAUCCGUAGCCGGUUCUGCAAGUCUCCCGUUAAAUCCACCUGCUUAACAGAUGGGCUGCGGGAGAUACUACAGAGCUAGGAGGCGGGAGAGGCAAGCGGUACUCAGUGGGUAGGGGUAAAAUCCGUUGAUCCAUUGAAGACCACCAGUGGCGAAGGCGGCUUGCCAGAACGCGCUCGACGGUGAGGGAUGAAAGCUGGGGGAGCAAACCGGAUUAGAUACCCGGGUAGUCCCAGCUGUAAACGAUGCAGACUCGGUGAUGAAUAGACUUAGUGUUUAUUCAGUGCCGCAGGGAAGCCGUUAAGUCUGCCGCCUGGGGAGUACGGUCGCAAGACUGAAACUUAAAGGAAUUGGCGGGGGA